rnacentral:rRNA from 1 species
GACGAACGCUGGCGGCGUGCUUAACACAUGCAAGUCGAACGGAAAGGCCCCUUUGGGGGUACUCGAGUGGCGAACGGGGGAGUAACACGGGAGUAACCUGCCCUUGACUUCGGGAUAACUUCAGGAAACUGGGGCUAAUACCGGAUAGGAAUCCUUGCUGCAUGGUGGGGGUUGGAAAGCUUCGGCGGUUUUGGAUGGACUCGCGGCCUAUCAGCUUGUUGGUGGGGUAGUGGCUUACCAAGGCGUUGACGGGUAGCCGGCCUGAGAGGGCGACCGGCCACAUUGGGACUGAGAUGCGGCACCGGCUCCUACGGGAGGCAGCAGUGGGGAAUCUUGCUCCAGGGGCGGCGGCCUGAUGCAGCAGCGCCGCGUGCGGGAUGACGGCCUUCGGGUUGUAAACCGCUUUCAGCAGGGGCGAAGCUUGUGGUGACGGUACCUGCAGAAGAAGCACCGGCUAACUACGUG